GAUGAACGCUAGCUACAGGCUUAACACAUGCAAGUCGAGGGGCAGCAUGAACUUAGCUUGCUGAGUUUGAUGGCGACCGGCGCACGGGUGAGUAACACGUAUCCAACCUGCCGAUGACUCGGGGAUAGCCUUUCGAAAGAAAGAUUAAUACCCGAUGGCAUAAUUCUUCCGCAUGGUAGAACUAUUAAAGAAUUUCGGUCAUCGAUGGGGAUGCGUUCCAUUAGGUUGUUGGCGGGGUAACGGCCCACCAAGCCUUCGAUGGAUAGGGGUUCUGAGAGGAAGGUCCCCCACAUUGGAACUGAGACACGGUCCAAACUCCUACGGGAGGCAGCAGUGAGGAAUAUUGGUCAAUGGGCGGAAGCCUGAACCAGCCAUGCCGCGUGAAGGACUAAGGCCCUACGGGUCGUAAACUUCUUUAGACGCAGAGCAAUAAGGUCCACGCGUGGACCGAUGAGAGUAUGCGUAGAAUAAGCAUCGGCUAACUCCGUGCCAGCA
rnacentral:rRNA from 1 species